UAAGCAUAAUAAUGCACUCUUUAUAAUAAAACUCGUUUCUUUAUAUUUCAGGUUAUCUACAGAAAAAUUAAAGCAUUAUGGAAUGGGCAUUACUUAGGACUAUAAAGCUUCCUUAAAAAGGUGGUCAAUUACGGCAAACCAUAAUAAAACCUUUUAAAUUAAAAAAAAGGUAAAUAUUUUGUUCAAAGAUCUGGCAAUGUUUCAACGGAAAUGAUGAGAAUGGAUACAUGAAUUAUGUGGCAUGAUUUUUCACAUUAACCGCAACUGCAACAUUAACCGUCUACUGAUUAUUUUCCACGAAACUAAUAUUUUCCACCCGUAACUUUAAUAUAAUUAAAAAUAAUUUCCCCUUGUUACAGUUGCAUGUUUUACCCGCUUUCCCGCUAACCUGGCUUAAACUAAUUUUAAAGGUACAGUACCAUCCCAAGCAAUAUUUAUUGUUCUUCCUUAUUAUGUACAUAUUAGUCUUAAAA